rnacentral:rRNA from 2 species
ACGGAGGAUGCGAGCGUUAUCCGGAUUUAUUGGGUUUAAAGGGAGCGUAGACGGGUUUUUAAGUCAGCUGUGAAAGUUUGGGGCUCAACCUUAAAAUUGCAGUUGAAACUGGAGACCUUGAGUACGGUUGAGGCAGGCGGAAUUCGUGGUGUAGCGGUGAAAUGCUUAGAUAUCACGAAGAACCCCGAUUGCGAAGGCAGCCUGCUAAGCCGCCACUGACGUUGAGGCUCGAAAGUGCGGGUAUCAAACAG